UACGGAGGGGGCUAGCGUUGUUCGGAAUUACUGGGCGUAAAGGGCGCGUAGGCGGCCACCGCAAGUCGGUUGUGAAAUCUCCGGGCUUAACCCGGAAAGGUCAACCGAUACUGCGGGGCUAGAGUGCAGAAGGGGCAACCGGAAUUCUCGGUGUAGCGGUGAAAUGCGUAGAUAUCGAGAGGAACACCUGCGGCGAAGGCGGGUUGCUGGGCUGACACUGACGCUGAGGCGCGAAAGCUAGGGGAGCGAACGGG
rnacentral:rRNA from 1 species